UAGGGAAUCUUCCACAAUGGACGAAAGUCUGAUGGAGCAACGCCGCGUGAGUGAAGAAGGGUUUCGGCUCGUAAAACUCUGUUGUUAAAGAAGAACAUAUCUGAGAGUAACUGUUCAGGUAUUGACGGUAUUUAACCAGAAAGCCACGGCUAACUACGUGCAG
rnacentral:rRNA from 1 species